CAGUUGAGCGAGAUAAGUUGUAGCAAUACGGCUUUGAAAGCGGCGCACGGGUGCGUAACACGUAUGCAACCUACCUUUUACUAAGGAAUAGCCUCUCGAAAGAGAGAUUAAUACCUUAUAACAUGUUUUGAAGGCAUCUUCAGAACCUUAAAGCUCCGGCGGUAAAAGAUGGGCAUGCGGUUGAUUAGCUAGUUGGUGAGGUAAUGGCUCACCAAGGCUUCGAUCAAUAGGGGGUCUGAGAGGAUGUCCCCCCACACUGGUACUGAGACACGGACCAGACUCCUACGGGAGGCAGCAGUAGGGAAUAUUGGACAAUGGGCGCAAGCCUGAUCCAGCCAUGCCGCGUGCAGGAUGAAGGCCCUAUGGGUCGUAAACUGCUUUUGUACGGGAAGAAACCUCACUACGUGUAGUGAGUUGACGGUACCGUGAGAAUAAGGAUCGGCUAACUUCGUGCCAGCAGCCGCGGUAAUACGAAGGAUCCAAGCGUUGUCCGGAUUUACUGGGUUUAAAGGGUGCGUAGGCGGACUUUUAAGUCAGUGGUGAAAGCUCGCAGCUUAACUGUGAAAUUGCCAUUGAAACUGAAAGUCUCGAGUGUGGUUGAGGUAACUGGAAUAUAUCAUGUAGCGGUGAAAUGCUUAGAUAUGAUAU
rnacentral:rRNA from 1 species